UACGAAGGGUGCAAACGUUGCUCGGAAUCAUUGGGCGUAAAGCGCACGUAGGCGGCCUCAAAAGUCGGAUGUGAAAUCCCGUGGCUCAACCAUGGACGUGCAUUCGAAACUGCGAGGCUUGAGUAUGGAAGAGGGUCGCGGAAUUCCCGGUGUAGAGGUGAAAUUCGUAGAUAUCGGGAGGAACACCAGUGGCGAAGGCGGCGACCUGGGCCAAUACUGACGCUGAGGUGCGAAGGCGUGGGGAGCAAACAGG
rnacentral:rRNA from 1 species